AGAGUUUGAUCCUGGCUCAGGAUGAACGCUAGCGACAGGCUAACACAUGCAAGUCGAGGGGCAGCGCGGGGAAAGCUUGCUUUUCCUGGCGGCGACCGGCGCACGGGUGCGUAACAGGUGUGCAAUCUGUCCUAUACCAGAGCAUAGCCCAGCGAAAGUUGGAUUAAUUCUCUAUGUGAGCCGAGAGGGCAUCCUUUUGGUUUGAAACGUGAGGGUAUAGGGUGAGCACGCUUCUGAUUAGCUAGUUGGUGAGGUAACGGCUCACCAAGGCGACGAUCAGUAGGGGUUCUGAGAGGAAGGUCCCCCACAUUGGAACUGAGACACGGUCCAAACUCCUACGGGAGGCAGCAGUGAGGAAUAUUGGUCAAUGGACGGAAGUCUGAACCAGCCAAGUCGCGUGAAGGAUGAAGGUUCUAUGGAUUGUAAACUUCUUUUGUCUGAGGGUAAAAAAGGCCACGUGUGGCUUCUUGCAAGUAUCAGACGAAUAAGCAUCGGCUAACUCCGUGCCAGCAGCCGCGGUAAUACGGAGGAUGCGAGCGUUAUCCGGAUUUAUUGGGUUUAAAGGGUGCGCAGGCGGUUUGUUAAGUCAGUGGUAAAAGCGUGUGGCUCAACCAUACCAAGCCAUUGAAACUGGCGAACUUGAGUGCAAACGAGGUAGGCGGAAUGUGAUGUGUAGCGGUGAAAUGCUUAGAUAUGUCACAGAACCCCGAUUGCGAAGGCAGCUUACCAGCAUGCAACUGACACUGGGGCACGAAAGCGUGGGUUUCAAACAGGAUUAGAUACCCUGGUAGUCCACGCAGAAACCCUAUACUAGCUGUUGGCGAUAUAAUGUCAGCGRUACAGCGAAAGUGUUAAGUAUCCACCYUGGG
rnacentral:rRNA from 1 species